rnacentral:lncRNA from 1 species
AGAGACCGGAGAACGGAGCUAAAUUUGAACUUAGUUUGCUAGUUCCUACGGGAAAUAAAUCAAUCAAAUCAACGAUGUUAGCCUCAAAAAUUCGUCGUUCAUGCUGCUCAGGCUAUCUACGUUCAUGUGCUGCAAGUAUUAACGAAAGGAACUUGGUGGACGCGUCGUCAAAGAGUUGAAAUCGUGUUCUCUGUCAAAGAGCGUGGGUAAGAGGCUUAUUAGAUGAUGUCCAGUUCUCAUGAUUAGUAUAGAGAACAGGCAGGAGGAUAGCUGUGAGCUUCCGAAUAAACCACAGAUUAAACAGACUGCGAGAUCACACAAUGUCAUUAGAGCUGGAACAAGUAUCUCAAUUAACCUGGACAGGAGAAAAUGGUUACAUUUUAAAAUUGCAGCUAAGUGUUCAGUUCUGUUUAAGGAAUAUUCUUUUGUUAAUUAGGAAAUGAUAAUUAGAUGCCCAGUAAGGCUGUCUUGAAUUGGCUUGCACAUGGGAGAACUGACAAAAUCUUCCCAGUCUAGAGUGUGUUGAAGAUUAGAUGUGAGUGUUUAAUACUCGUCAACAAUAGAUGAGCUUGGGGAAUGGUGCUUAAAAGGAUGGUGGAAGCCAUGAGCAAUCUGGACCAAGUGUGUAGGGUAUCCAUGUGACAACCCUGUGAGCGGCAACCACCAGGCACCAUCACACUGAACAAACAGUGGAACAAAAAUACUUACCACAUCCAUUCCAUGAGAAGAGGAGGGGUGCUGACCUGGGCAAAAAGCUCUAGGAGAACAGUCAGCAGCAAAAACAUGCAGAAUGACUUGACAUGUGAAGCCAAACUGUAAACUAUAAAGAGCCCAGGCACAAACUCACUUGCCACCCCACACACCAAUCCUAUUUGGGAGACUUCUGGCCAGCAAAAUUGUCUUGUGUUUAACAUAGCCUAGUAAAUUACAUUUAGCCACAUUUAAACUCGUCAACAAUAGAUGAGCUUGGGGAAUGGUGCCUUAAAGGAUAGUGGAGCCACAAGCAAUCCAAGCUAAGCACGAAGGGUAUCCAUGACAACUCAGUGUGAGUGGCAACCACCAGACCUUGCCCUCCUAGAUGCUUGGAGGGCAAAGGUCCGCAAAGAGGGGUGGAGGCGGAACCAAGGCCCACCAAACGUUCCAAACACCAGAUCCCAUGCCCUGACAAAAAGGAGCAGAAACCCAAUUAAACAAAGACAGAUACAUGCCAAGACAAAGAAACAACAUGAUGGUUUCUACAGGACUUAUUUGAUUGUAAAAUACUAAAAACUGGCUACAUUGUCAAUGCCCAGCAUGACAAAUGACAGCUCUAGGAACCACAGGGCUAUACCAAUCCAGGCAGCACUGACACAGACUGAGUCAUAUCCAAGAACUAAGUUUCUGAGAUGGCAUGAGCAAGCCACUCUCUAGCGGAGCACACUAAUGUGGUGACCCAGUUAAACCUAACCUCCGUACCAUGAAUGGAAGCACCUAGGAGGACAGAAUAACGAUACUCAACCAUUACUGAAUACAAAGCAGCUAGGUUGAGCAAUUAGGCCAUGCGAGGGCCCCACAGUCGCUGCAGAUCCUGCAGUGGGUCUAAACGAAGGAUCAUCGAGCAGCUGAAGAUGCGAACUGCAUGAACGAUAAGUAGGCAGUGCUUGUCUGAUACUCAGAGUUUCCAUUUCGUCGCCUGGAAUGCCAUUCCUUACAACUACUGUUGCUGCUCCAAUGUGAAACCUGUGGCUGGAAAACUUGCCUUGUAUGCCAAUUGAUGAUAAGAUGUCGUGCACCGACAAUGAUUGUAAUAUAACACGGGAUAAUGGAUGCCCAUUACAAAACAGGAACAAAGGGCCUAUGUGUAAGGAGCUGCCUUUAUGGAACGGAUCUGCUUUAGAAUCCUUUACCCUGAUCCAUAGACGUGAAGGGGAUGUGUUCAAAUCAGCUACAAUGCUGGCCACACCCAGGUUGAUAGCAGGUGAAAAACUAGCAAGAUUCGGGAUGGUAAUGUCGGCAGAGCAAAGAAAACUACAAAAACCCUAAAUUACAUGCUGCUCAUACAGUGUUCUGGAAGGCGCAAGUCCAAUGCACAAAAAUUGCCACCACAAUGUCUUUUAUAACUGGUAAGCGUAACAAAGAGGCAUUACCAUGAGUUCUUUUAAUUCCUCUAAGCACCGAUUGCAACCUCAAGCAUCAAAUAAGAGGAUCAGGAAAGCCCUGUUCGAUAUGCAAGAAGCAAACUGCCGACAGAUAAACCCUCAUGGUUGAAUGUCCACUCAUCCUUAGGGUAGGGUGAUCCAGAUUGAUGAAUCAUAUCGAGUUGUAUGCAGAGGUUGUAAAACAUCUUCAGGCCUGAGACAUAUAAGCUGCCCGUCAAUGAAGUUAGUCGUUGCGCCAAGAAAUCAUGACACUGGGCCUCUAAUGCAGAGGAAUCAAGAGCUCCCAAAGCUGGAACCAGGUGCAGUUGUGUGCCGAGGGCCAACUGCUUGAAUUCCUGCCAAUAAAAUCAGAAAAGAGCGUAAGUAAUGUUGUUAUGGAUACCAGGAAUAUGCCACACACUGAAAGUAAAAUUAAAGCAAACAGUUGCAGAAAGUAAAUGAUACAGAAACUGCACAAUACAUCGGAACUUAGAUGUCCUGGAGAUCAAGAUGUGUACCACUGUCUCAUUAUCUGACCAGAAAAAGUACAUGAUAUUGACACCACUGGGAACCCUACUGGUGCAAAGCUACCACUAUGGUGAAAAGCUCCUUACUGGCGAUGGAUCGAUGCGACUGCAGGGCACCCAUGCACCACUGAGUCACUCAGUAUUGAAGUAAACCCCAAAACCCAGCACGCCAUCAGCAACAGAAGUCAGUUUUUUGGUCAGGAGGCAGCAGACUGCUCUGGCCAGCACAUCCUCGAUGCCACCAAAUGAGUAGAUGAGACAAUAAGUAAGUAAGUAAGUAAGUAACUUUAUUAAUGAGGGUAAAAACACUUUACAGUCAUUGACUGAUAAACUCGUGGGAAAGGGAAAGCCAAGCAAGUGGCGAAAUCUUUAAAUUUGUGGCACAUUGAUCAGAGUCCGGGGGAUCCGCUAGAAUAAAGUCUUCAAGGUAAUGCACCAGGUGUGCAACAUCGUACCUAUUCAAAAUGAUCCAUUCCGCCAUAUCCACGAUGGAAUUAAAAAUGUAACGUACAUAGCAGAGAGCAAAGGGGAUGACCAAGUCGAAGAAGAACUGGCCAUGCCACUCCAUCCCUAAAAGAUAUGGAUCCUCCAGAUGAACUGCAAGAUUGCAAUGCAUGUCCUCCACAUCGAGCUUUGCCAUCAUAGCCACAGGCCCAUGCUUGGCAACCGUGCAAGGUCUGGUUGACCUUGAUAUAGUGCAUGGAAAACUGUCAGGAUUGGUCAUCAUUUACACUUGAGCCCCAACGAGGUGACAAAUCCAUGAUGAAGUGCCAUUUGCCAGGUUGACCUUUUGGGUGAUUACAUCAAAACUGCUUAUUUUUAAACUGGGCAAGGCAAUCAAUCAGGUUGGGCCUGCAACCCUAUAUCAUGAAACCUCGUUUCCCAGAUAAUCAUCAAUCAUCUUAUUCUUUUGGCUACCUGUAAUCUGCGAGCAGGGCGGAAUCCCAGAUGAAAACAAUUAUGAUACUGAAGGCCCCAGAGAACAUAAUAUCAUGCUGCCUGUUGAUUUGCAUUCCCAGCCAAGUCCCAAUUGAGUUCAGCAACAUGCAAAUGUGUGGGGAAGUCACCAACACUGUAUGAAAGACGGGACACCCCAAAAAAGAAAAAUUAACUAACUGGACCCAAAAGUCGCAAUAUAAUCGCUAAAAGCAAUUGGAAACAGAGUCACUUGAGACUAGACAAACGUGCCUAAGAGAGCAAAAAGGAAACAAGGCAUGGUGGCGAAUUUGUGGGGUAAGAGCUGCCAAAGACCUAAAGUCAAAUGUCUGUGAAGAUGACCCAGAGGCCCUUGGGGAAUGGUCACAAUGUUUGGAAUCAGCACUGCCAUCCUUGAAGGGCCAAGUGGUACACGAAGUUGCAUGGUGGGAGCCUGGACAUACAUUGCAACGAUGUGCAUAAUGGCAAGACACAAACAGAACCGUGGUAUGCCCAAUGAUGGCUGAAGACGAUCCUGGAGGCUCAAGAGAUUGAUGAACCAGCCACAAUUAUAGUAGAGCAAUCUGGAAGAUGAGUUGCGUCUGCAUGUUUGCAGAAAGAUUGAUCAUGAGCAAGCCAAACUCUUCAGGAAAAUGGGGGUAGGAGGUACAGGGAUCGGAAGUUGGCACUGCAUCAGAUCCUUCUAGCUGUGAGGAAAAUGAUGAACAAGAAUGAGGGAAAAAAUGGAAAAUUCCUCCAUCCACGAAUUAUGUCCUUGAUGUGCCAGCAUUGUUUCUUCAGCUGGGAACUCAACACAAGGUGGCCAUCCAGUAACAGCUGUGGUACUGGAUUUUUCUGCACCAAGUUAACUGCCAAUAAUGUACUCUGUUCAAUGUCUUUACCUGCGAUGAUCUUGUCCUGCAAGGGCAAAGCAAGCAGAAAGCACACAUAGGCAUAGAAUGAAUUGGUUGAUCAAUGUGAUAGUCCCCCUCCAGCAGCCAAAAAACCGAUGGUAGACCUGUAUAGCAAUGACAGUGUGCUGAUUUUAGAAGUGCCCCUGAACACACACUUGCCACAGGCACAGCGGAAGAAAUGGGAGGGUUUGCAAAGCCUGAUACCACAAGUGCUUGACAAUAGGCCCUUUGCAGCUGGGGUCACGUGACCAAAUUUUUCCUAAAAAAUAUUUAUAUU